rnacentral:rRNA from 1 species
UACGUAGGAGGCAAGCGUUGUCCGGAAUCACUGGGCGUAAAGAGCGUGUAGGCGGUCUGCCAAGUCUGUUGUGAAAGCGCCUGGCUUAACUGGGCGAGGUCGGCGGAAACUGUCCGACUCGAGGACGGUAGAGGGGGUGGAAUUCCCGGUGUAGUGGUGAAAUGCGUAGAGAUCGGGGAGGAACACCUGUGGCGGAAGGCGGCCCCC